GUGCCUGGGGCAGUCGGGGCCGCGCGGCAGGCAGGCGAGGUCACGUGACGCACGACCCACCCACCUCAACCCCCUCCCGCCCCUCACGCUGCUUGGGAGGGACGUAGCGCCAUUUUGCCCCAGUGGAGCGUGACUUCGUCGCGGGGCGCGUGGGAGGCGCGCAGUUUCAGUGUCUGGCUGCAGAAGGAUGCGCUGCCAGCUGCGCUGCGUUUGCUGCUGUGGUUACUGCCCCAUUCGUCCUUAGGGUGCAGCCUGCAGUCUCUAAGUCAUUUGCCACUGACUUCUGGACAGGAAUCCCAAGCCUCCAGGGCCCUCGGUCAAGCCAAAGCCUUCGAAUGGUGGACUAAAGGAACCCACUGAUGGUUUCCCAGGCCCUUCCAUUGGACCUCACCUCCACAAGGGGCACUGCUAAUAAAUUCAGCGAUGAAGACUUGGAGGGGGUUUCCUGCAGGCUGAUGUAAAGCAUUGGGAAGUUGGGAUAAGCAGGCAAACAAGAAGAAACAGUGAAGCAGGAGGAGCGAAAUGGAAACAAGGAACCAAGAGAGGGAUCAAGGGAAGAAAAAUGGAGAAAUGAGCCGAGCAUAGUGGUGCACACCUCUAAUCCCAGAGUUUCGGAGGGAGAGGCAAGACAAUCAGGAAUUUACUACAAAAUAAAUUGGCACACUUGAAUUUGUGAGACCUUUCACUGCAAAACAAAACGGAGGUCGCCAAUUUGAGACACACAAGCCUUAUGAAAUCACAGAACCAAGGACAAGGUAACAUCAGUCUUACAGUCACAUCUUAGGUGAAUUUUCCACUGACUCCAAUGAUGAGUCAAGGGGUUGGACAUCAUUUAAAUGUUAUACUUUCUGGGUAGUAUGCAACAAAUUUAUAAACUUCAGUAGCUUGAACAACCUAUCGCCGGUAGUUCAGCCAGUGGCAGAGUCUGGAAUCUGGAGGCUCUUCGUGGCUGGCAGGAGAUACUGGCUGUACCUCAGAGGUCGGCUGCAACUGUUCUCUGAAUGAUCUCCACGGGACCUUUCCAUGUAGCUGCUUAGCUUCCUCAUAGGUAACUCUGGUCUUCAAGUGAGGACACACAGAAACCACGCUGACGUUUAUAAGUCAUUUUAGAAUUUAGGUAUCAUGUCCACUGCACUGGAUUUGUUGUAAGUCACAAAACCACACUGCGUUUAAUCAGGCAACCCUCGGGUGACAGUCACUCCUAAGAUGAACAGGUAGAAUUCGGAGCAUGGUAUUGCAGUCAUUAAAUAAAAAUAUGUCAAAAGAGUUUCCUAUUGAAAAAAUUUUAUUUAGAUUUUUUUUCUAGAAUUGGGCAGGUCAAAAACCGGAGGGAUUGUCCUGAUCUGCACAGGCUACUAUAACAAAAUGCCCUAUACCAUGCAAUUUAUAAACAACAAAGUUUUGUUUCUGGUUGUUCCAGACUGGGAAGUCCAAAAGAGCACUAAAGCUUGUAUCCGUGAGAACUUGUUUCCUUUUAUCCCUUCAUUUGUGUUCAGAAGAAUUCUUGGAUUUUAACAUUCUUAGACAUUUAUUAAAAAGCGGAAGGAUCCUGGGCAGGAGGAAAACAAGAUGGAGCCGGAUUGGGAUACUUGCAAAGAUCAAAGUGAUGGUUAAAUAAGACAGAUCCUAUGAGCUGUAGUUUUCUUUCCUUCCUCCUGACCCUCGUCUCACUGAAGGGAGAGAGAAGAAAAGCCGGGAGAGACAAGUGUUUUCUCAGUCCUGUGGGUCAGGAAGAUGACAAACACCAGGAGUAAAAGAACUGGGUCAGGUCUAAAGCCAGCUCGCCUUGUUCUAGACCGUCUGAGCAACUUAAUGAUACCUUAAGGAGGGAAGGAGGGAGGGGGAGAGACAGAGAUUUGGGGGGGUGGGCAAACUGGGGCUUUAGCUAAGUAGAGAACCUUCCUAAAAUGCACAAGGCCUCAACACUGCAGGAAGAGAACUGAAUUGCAGAUUUUGGGAUGCAUGCUUUUGCCCAUCAGACAUUCAGAUCCAACAAGAAGCAACAAUGACAUAGAUGAAGCAGGCCUUUUAAAAUGAAAAAUAGCUGCAGCCUAUCCUCUAAUGUACUUUUCAUUUUCUAUCGCUCCCCACCCUUUGUUGCAUUUCCUAGCCCCUCCCCCUCUUUUGUCCUGAGGUGUCAGGGUUUUGGUUUUGUUUUUUUUUUAGAUUUAUUUAUUUAUUUUAUGUAUGUGAGUACACUGUAGCUGUCUUCAGACACACCAGAAGAGAGCAUCGAAUCCUAUUACAGAUGGUUGUGAGCCACCAUGUGGCUGGGAACUGAACUCAGGACCUCUGGAAGGAGUAGUCAGUGCUCUUAACCACUGAGCCAUCUCUCCAGGACUGGAUAUCAAUUUUUAUUGCAUCACUUCAAAUGAUGGACAUCUAGGCCAGGGGCCCUAUGCAAGUGGGGCCCUUUGCAUAUGAGUCAAGCACUUUAAUACUGAAGUAUAGCCCUCACCCUGUCCUAAUUUUUUAAAGCUUAUUUCACACAGUCUUCUUACCAGGAUAGUUCCUAGAAAUCCAGACUCAACUGGCUUAGAGAGAGAGAAGAAGAUCUUGACACAGUAAAUGUGAUGGUUUGUAUAUGCCCGGCCCAGGGUGUAGCACUAGUAGGAGGUGUGGCCUUGUUGGAAGAAGUGUAUCACUGUGGACAUGGGCUUAAUAUCCCAAUCCUAGCUGCCUGGAAGUCAGUCUUUUCCUAGCUGCCUUCAGAACAAAAGGCGGAACUCUCAGCUCCUCUAGCCUCCUGUCUACCAUGCUCCCACAUGGAUGAUAAUGGACUGAACCUCUGAACCUGUAUGCCAGCCCCAAUUAAAUGUUGUUCUUUAUAAGA